rnacentral:ncRNA from 1 species
AUUCUGAUAACGAACGAGACUCUGGCUUGCUAAAUAGUUACGCGACCAUCCCGGUCGGCGUUUAACUUCUUAGAGGGACAAGUGGCGUUUAGCCACACGAGAUUGAGCAAUAACAGGUCUGUGAUGCCCGAAUUUUGUUUAAAGUUCGCCCGUGUAACCUUAGGCACGGUUCGUAACGAUAUUUUUUUUUUCAGG